ACACAGACAGCUUCAGUCUACCCGUGUGGAGAUUUUCAGUUUCGCCGCAUAUUUCUUUUUGGGUUGACGUACGUUUUGAGCCUUUCAAGUUAAUAAAAAAAAAAAAAAAAUUCCAGUGUGGACUACGGCAGAGAGGAGCCCGGGAGUGUGGUUCGACUUCGAAGGAGACUGAUGGACCAGGAAACGCAGCCUCGCUAUCCUUGGGAAGAAAAGUUACUGAGGAUUGCUGGGCCCAGCAGAGAAAACCAUGUGACAAAGACCCUAUGACACAGCUUAACGAGAGUGAAAAAAUAUUGUACUUUUCCUCCUGAAGAAGAAUCUUGCUCGCAGAAAGAUGCCGAUAUAUACAGGUACCAGAAAAAACUGUAGGCCUUAAAAAUAAGCCAGGGUUCUAGUCUCCUCACGUGAUAGACAAAAUCAAACUCACAUUUCCACCAAGGAAAGAAGUACUGUUUGAACAUGCCGGGUCAGUGGGUUAAAAAAUGAUAAUAAUAAUAAUAAAAAAGAAGCAAUGAAAUUA